rnacentral:rRNA from 1 species
ACGCUGGCGGCGUGCUUUAAACACAUGCAAAGUCGAACGAGAGGGACAUGGGGAAGCUUGCUUCCUAUGAAAUCGAGUGGCAAACGGGUGAGUAACGCGUAAACAACCUGCCCUUCGGAUGGGGAUACAGCCGGAAACGGCUGCUAAUACCGAAUACGAUCUUUUUCGUCGCAUGACGGAAAGAAGAAAAAGGAUGGCCUCUAUACAAAGCUAUCGCCGAAGGAGGGGUUUGCGUCUGAUUAGCUGGUUGGAGGGUAACGGCCCAACAAGGCGAUGAUCAGUAGCCGGUCUGAGAGGAUGAACGGCCACAUUGGGACUGAGACACGGCCCAGACUCCUACGGGAGGCAGCAGUGGGGAAUCUUCCGCAAUGGACGAAAGUCUGACGGAGCAACGCCGCGUGAGUGAAGAAGGUCUUCGGAUUGUAAAACUCUGUUAUACGGGACGAAAAAGACGGAUGCCAACAGUAUCCGUCCGUGACGGUACCGUAAGAGAAAGCCACGGCUAACUACGUGCCAGCAGCCGCGGUAAAU